rnacentral:rRNA from 1 species
AUUGAACGCUGGCGGCAGGCCUAACACAUGCAAGUCGAGCGAGCGGCGGACGGGUGAGUAAUGUAUGGGGACUGCCCGAUAGAGGGGGAUAACUACUGGACACGGUGGCUAAUACCGCAUACUAUCGGCUACCCCAUAUGGGAUUAGCUAGUAGGUGGGGUAAAGGCGCACCUAGGCGACGAUCUCUAGCUGGUCUGAGAGGAGGAUCAGCCACCCUGGGACUGAGACACGGGCCUGAUUCCGACGGAGGCAGCAGUGGGGAAUAUUGCACAAUGGGCGCAAGCCUGAUGAAGCCAUGCCGCGUGUAUGAAGAAGGCCUUAGGGUUGUAAAGUACUUUCAGCGGGGAGGCGUUACCCGCAGAAGAAGCACCGGCUAACUCCGUGCCAGCAGCCGCGGUAAUUC